rfam:Myotis brandtii contig153133, whole genome shotgun sequence.
GGCAGUUCUCUGGUGACGAACCCCAGAAUCAGGCUCCCUCCUCUCUGGUUCCAGGUGCAUCACCCAAGAACCGCA